rnacentral:rRNA from 1 species
UACGUAGGGUGCAAGCGUUGUCCGGAAUUAUUGGGCGUAAAGAGCUUGUAGGCGGUUUGUCGCGUCUGCUGUGAAAUCUCAAGGCUCAACCUUGAGCUUGCAGUGGGUACGGGCAGACUAGAGUGUGGUAGGGGAGACUGGAAUUCCUGGUGUAGCGGUGAAAUGCGCAGAUAUCAGGAGGAACACCGGUGGCGAAGGCGGAUCUCUGGGCCAUUACUGACGCUGAGGAGCGAAAGCGUGGGGAGCGAACAGG